UUCUGGCUCAGGAUGAACGCUAGCGGCAGGCUUAACACAUGCAAGUCGAGGGGCAGCACGGGUAGCAAUACUUGGUGGCGACCGGCGCACGGGUGAGUAACGCGUAUGCAACCUACCUUCAACUGGGGGAUAGCUCAGUGAAGACUGGAUUAAUACCCCAUAACACAGGGAUACCGCAUGGUAAUAUUUGUUAAAGCUCCGGCGGUUGAAGAUGGGCAUGCGUGACAUUAGCUAGUUGGUAGGGUAACGGCCUACCAAGGCGACGAUGUCUAAGGGGUCUGAGAGGAUGAUCCCUCACACUGGUACUGAGACACGGACCAGACUCCUACGGGAGGCAGCAGUGAGGAAUAUUGGUCAAUGGGGGCAACCCUGAACCAGCCAUGCCGCGUGAAGGAAGACGGCCCUAAGGGUUGUAAACUUCUUUUGUACGGGGGUAAAGACAGAUACGCGUAUUUGUUUGAAAGUACUGUACGAAUAAGCAUCGGCUAACUCCGUGCCAGCAGCCGCGGUAAUACGGAGGAUGCGAGCGUUAUCCGGAUUUAUUGGGUUUAAAGGGUGCGUAGGCGGAUUUAUAAGUCAGCGGUGAAAGACUGUCGCUCAACGAUAGCAUUGCCAUUGAUACUGUAGAUCUUGAGUACACUUGAGGUAGGCGGAAUGUGUAGUGUAGCGGUGAAAUGCUUAGAUAUUACACAGAACACCAAUUGCGAAGGCAGCUUACUAAAUUGUAACUGACGCUGAGGCACGAAAGCGUGGGGAUCAAACAGGAUUAGAUACCCUGGUAGUCCACGCCGUAAACUAUGAUCACUGGAUGUAUGGGAUAUACACUAUGCGUCUGAGUAAAAGCAUUAAGUGAUCCACCUGGGGAGUACGUCGGCAACGA
rnacentral:rRNA from 1 species